GACAGAUUUAAGUAUCCUAGGAUCAAAGAAUAUGAUGGGACCACCGAUCCAAUCAAUCAUCUGAACAUAUACACGGACGUCAUGAAUUUACAGGUCGCACCAGAUCAGGUGAUGUGCAAGGCCUUCCCGCAAACCUUGACGAAUGCCGCUAGGGAUUGGUUCUCAACCUUAGAGUCCAACUCCAUAGCCUCAUUCUCGGAUUUGGCGGACAAGUUCUCCGCUUUCUUCGCAAGCAGCAAACGCAUCAGGAAGACAGCGGCUUCCCUCAUGCAACUUAGACAGGGGCAAAAUGAGACCCUACGUGACUUCAUGACCAGGUUCAACAAGGAAAGACUUCAGAUUCCCGACCUACACAUAACUGCAGCGGUUUCUGCCCUCACAUAUGCCAUAAAGCGUGAGGCCUUCAAGAUGUCUUUAUCCAAAACUCCGCCAAAGACAGUGACCGAGCUUUUUACCCGAGCCGAGAAGUACAUAAAUAUGGAGGAAACACUGAACCCGAGAAAGGUUGGACCAUCCCAUGACAA
rnacentral:lncRNA from 1 species